rnacentral:rRNA from 1 species
AGCGAACGCUGGCGGCAAGCUUAACACAUGCAAGUCGAACGGAUGUAGCAAUACAUUAGUGGCGCACGGGUGCGUAACACGUGGGAAUCUGCCUUUAGGUAAGGAAUAACUCAGGGAAACUUGAGCUAACACCUUAUAAUGUCUUCGGACCAAAUAUUUAUAGCCUAGAGAUGAGCCCGCGGUAGAUUAGCUAGUUGGUGGGGUAAUGGCCUACCAAGGCAACGAUCAUAGCUGGUCUGAGAGGAUGACCAGCCACACUGGGACUGAGACACGGCCCAGACUCCUACGGGAGGCAGCAGUGGGGAAUAUUGGGCAAUGGACGCAAGUCUGACCCAGCUAUGCCGCGUG